rnacentral:lncRNA from 1 species
GUAUGGAUGUUACUGCAUCGGUCAAACCUUACCUAAUUUUGCGAUAAAUAUUUACACAGAACAGAAUGUGGACAACACUAUUCGCAAAGUAAACAGGGGUUUUGUUGUUCUUUAGAUGUAUUUUGUAAAAUGAUAUGACAUGCAGGGCUUCAUAAUAAAAAGAAAUCGUCAAUCUUUUACAGACGUGGUAAUAUCGGUCAAUAAUUAACAUCCAAAACGAAUCCUCGUUUACUUCCAAUAUUACAAUCGUCCGAUAUCCAACCCCCCCUAAAUGAAAGUUUGGACUCGUCCAAAAAGACGUCAUCGAUCUUUGUGUACACAAAGCAGCCGUGGGACUUUCGAAAAUGGAGUUAAGUGUCAUCGGUCAGGCGAAAGCAAGUUGUAACAUCCAAAACUUAAUUUAAAUUCAUUGAUAUUGUAAUAAAUACGCAACUAAAUGGUAAGUUUUCAUUGCGUGAUCAGUUAUUUACGUGGUUCAAUAUAUAGGUAAAUAUAAUAUGACGGAAAUUGCCAAUUUGACGAUAAACAACACAGAUGCAUAUGGACGGUGACAUUUUGACCUGUCAACCUUUUUUGUGAUGUUAUAUUUUGACGUGAUAAGCACGUGGUUGCGUAAUGUCCGUACGAUUUUAGUUAAAAAUAAGUUAUAUAUUAAAAUUGUGUAUCUGCACUAUUUAAAUAUCGU